CUAAUACAUGCAAGUCGAGCGAAUGGAUUAAGAGCUUGCUCUUAUGAAGUUAGCGGCGGACGGGUGAGUAACACGUGGGUAACCUGCCCAUAAGACUGGGAUAACUCCGGGAAACCGGGGCUAAUACCGGAUAACAUUUUGAACCGCAUGGUUCGAAAUUGAAAGGCGGCUUCGGCUGUCACUUAUGGAUGGACCCGCGUCGCAUUAGCUAGUUGGUGAGGUAACGGCUCACCAAGGCAACGAUGCGUAGCCGACCUGAGAGGGUGAUCGGCCACACUGGGACUGAGACACGGCCCAGACUCCUACGGGAGGCAGCAGUAGGGAAUCUUCCGCAAUGGACGAAAGUCUGACGGAGCAACGCCGCGUGAGUGAUGAAGGCUUUCGGGUCGUAAAACUCUGUUGUUAGGGAAGAACAAGUGCUAGUUGAAUAAGCUGGCACCUUGACGGUACCUAACCAGAAAGCCACGGCUAACUACGUGCCAGCAGCCGCGGUAAUACGUAGGUGGCAAGCGUUAUCCGGAAUUAUUGGGCGUAAAGCGCGCGCAGGUGGUUUCUUAAGUCUGAUGUGAAAGCCCACGGCUCAACCGUGGAGGGUCAUUGGAAACUGGGAGACUUGAGUGCAGAAGAGGAAAGUGGAAUUCCAUGUGUAGCGGUGAAAUGCGUAGAGAUAUGGAGGAACACCAGUGGCGAAGGCGACUUUCUGGUCUGUAACUGACACUGAGGCGCGAAA
rnacentral:rRNA from 1 species